rnacentral:rRNA from 1 species
GGGGGGGGGGGCUAGCGUUGUUCGGAAUUACUGGGCGUAAAGGGCGCGCAGGGCGGGCGGGGCAAGUCUUUCGUGAAAGCCCACGGGCUCAACCGUGGAAUUGCGGAAGAAACUGCUCGUCUUGAGUCCGGGAGAGGAGAGUGGAAUUCCCAGUGUAGCGGUGAAAUGCGUAGAUAUUGGGAGGAACACCGGUGGCGAAGGCGGCUCUCUGGACCGGUACUGACGCUGAGGCGCGAAAGCUAGGGGAGCAAACGGGAUUAGAUACCCCGGUAGUCCUAGCCGUAAACGAUGAGCACUUGGUGUGGCGGGUAUCGACCCCCGCCGUGCCGAAGCUAACGCAUUAAGUGCUCCGCCUGGGGAGUGCGGUCGCAAAGGCUG